rnacentral:siRNA from 1 species
GAAGGCCUAAUUGGUAGCUCUCCC